rnacentral:rRNA from 1 species
GACGAACGCUGGCGGCGUGCUUUACACAUGCAAGUCGAACGGUGAAGGUGGAGCUUGCUCCGCCGGAUCAGUGGCGAACGGGUGAGUAACACGUGGGCAACCUGCCCCUAACUUUGGGAUAACUACUCGAAAGAGUAGCUAAUACCGGAUAUAAAGUCUGUAGGCAUCUAUGGAUUUGGAAAGUUUUUCGGUUAGGGAUGGGCCCGCGGCCUAUCAGCUUGUUGGUGAGGUAGUGGCUCACCAAGGCGACGACGGGUAGCCGGCCUGAGAGGGCGACCGGCCACACUGGGACUGAGACACGGACCAAACUCCUACGGGAGGCAGCAGUGGGGAAUAUUGGACAAUGGGCGCAAGCCUGAUCCAGCCAUGCCGCGUGAGUGAUGAAGGCCUUAGGGUUGUAAAGCUCUUUCGUCCGGGACGAUAAUGACGGUACCGGAAGAAGAAGCCCCGGCUAACUUCGUGCCAGCCGCCGCCGUAA